ACGAAGGGUGCAAGCGUUAAUCGGAAUUACUGGGCGUAAAGCGUGCGUAGAUGGCUGAUUAAGUCGGAUGUGAAAGCCCCGGGCUCAACCUGGGAAUGGCAUCCGAUACUGGUUGGCUAGAGUGCGGUAGAGGAGAGCGGAAUUCCCGGUGUAGCGGUGAAAUGCGUAGAGAUCGGGAGGAACAUCCGUGGCGAAGGCGGCUCUCUGGACCAGCACUGACGUUGAGGCACGAAAGCGUGGGGAGCAAACAGGAUUAGAUACCCUGGUAGUCCACGCCCUAAACGAUGUCGACUGGAUGUUGGGCACACUUUGGUGCUCAGUAUCGAAGCUAACGCGUUAAGUCGACCGCCUGGGGAGUAUGCGCGCAAGCGUG
rnacentral:rRNA from 1 species